CCUUCAGAUUCUCUCCUCCCGCUCGGGUUUUUCCCAGAGAGAGAACGAUAGAGAGACCAACAGAAGGAGUGAGAGAGUGAGAGAAAGACAGGAGGGGGAGGGGAGGGGGGGCGAUAUCGCCGCCCUGGCGGACAAGGCCUUCUACUCAACAUCUGACCCACUUGUCCUUGUGAGGCUCACGGAACCCAUCCCAAAAGAGGAGCGAACCCUAGAUGACCGUUCAUCCACCACAGGACAUGAAGGUUACAAUACAAAAAACGCAGGGAUAAAGCUUCAUAUCCCUGUGAUGUUCCUCAAUGUUUAGAGAACAAAGACUAUGAAGUGCUGUUUCUAUGAGCUUGUACAUGUCUAGUUUCCCUGAGGUUUCAUAAAGUCACAAAGUUGUCUUAAUGUUGUCUCGCUACUCUGUAUUCAUGGUUGCACAUGUCUCUCGCUGUAUGUCUUUCCUGCUUAUCAAACGAAGGAAACAUCACUCAUGUUUAAUUUGGAUGCAGAAGUGGGAGUUUCAACAUGAGAAAGAUAAUGUAGUUGAUUAUGCGGAUGCAGCAAUAGCAGCAGGAGAGGGCGCUACACACUAAACGGAGGGAGGGGGGUGAACUGAGGAGGAGAAGGUGUUAAAUCAUAUGCUUUUAAUGUUAGUGCAGCUUUAACUAGUGCAAAAAUACUAAAUGAAGAAACAGGAUUUGUGAAGUCAGCUGGGGUUUCUGUUUAGAAUGUGUGGAUCAACGCUGCCCAGUCUUAAGUUUCAUCGCUUUAGUCCUGAUUAAAAAUGUCUUUAUGAAAAACCUGCUAGUGAACAAAUAUUUGAAUUCUUUAGUUGUUUUACUCCACUUGAUGAUGCUUUUGUAAUUCAACUCAAUUUAAUUCAUACAUCAUCUCUUAACUACAGUAGAGAGUUUACAAGAUGCAAAAAUAUGACCCAAGUUUAACAACACAGGCAACAGUGAACAGGGAAACCUGCCGCAGAACCAGGCCUCCAGCAGAACCAGGUCUGGAGUUAGAGGACACUUUGCUGUUUGACCUUUCACCCCAUUACAGUCUGAAGAAGUACCCAGAUACUUAUUCUGGGGUUAAACAUACACUGUUGUCCAGUACUGCUUUAAAUUGCAGGCAGGCCCUGACAGUUAACCUUUGAUCUGUGAGAUGAUUUUUAUGUGGCUAAUCAGGUCUGAUAUGAGCAUGACAUGCAAAUGCCUACAACAAGUAAUACACUAAAACUUUGCAAGAGGUUUUGAUGUCAGAAUUCAUUGAUCAUUUAUUAAUGCGAUUUAAACCUGAUCGUGUUUUUGCUGCAAUGCUACACAUGAAGACACUGAAGCCAGCUGGUUGACUGAGCUGUAGCACCUCCUGCUGCCACAUGGAGAUGCUGAAGCUUCAUAUCAACUCCAGCUAUUCGAGCCAUUGCAGAGCCAUUGGCUUUGUGCAGGAACACACAAGCACUCAGAAGAAAGAUGCUCUAAACUGCUGAGCUGCCCUCAGAGAACAAUUUUUAACUUAUGGUGCCUACAACUGUAAUCUUAUUAGUUCCUAUAUAUAGGAGUCACACAAUGCAACGGACCACUUAUUAAAGGGAUACUUCACCAAUGAAAGGCAAGUUGUGUUAAAAAAUUGGACAUUUUAUUAGCCAAAAUGUGUAAAAGCGUCUCACAUCAGCCGUUCACAUCACUCACAUAACAUUGAUGGUCUAUGUCCAGAGAAAACAGGGAAAAGCGGCAGUAUUAUUUGUUGUGGGUGAAAAUGGUCACAUCCUAUAAUACCCAAAAAUGCACUGUGCCCACAUGACUCUCCCGGUGCAGUGAUUGGACCCACCUGAUCCUGUGGGGCGUGUUACUCCUCCAGUUUAGAGACAAACGUUCGGACAUAAGUUUUGUCACAACUCAGGACUCAUGAACGUUAUUCUUAGUUUCUGGUUUUGGUUUACUUCCUGUUUAGUUCCUGGUCUGCCCUAGUUUUCUCCUGUUUUGCUUUCCUGUCAUGUGAUUCACCAGCCGUUGUCAAUCAGUAAUAAGUAAGUAAACCCCAGUACUCACCACACUCUUUGCUCACUUACCUGUGUCAACUCUCCAGCGUCAUUAUCCUGUAAGUCCUUCCUGUGUACCAGUUCUAGUUUUGUUGCUGACCUUGCCUGCUCCCUUGAUUCUGGUUUUGGACUCUUGCCUGAGUUUGACCACCAAUUAUCUGAUCCCUGUCUGUGCAGCUGCUAUCCUCCAUGUAAACCUGUGUACCGACCUCUGCCUGUCUGGCCAACGAGCUUCAAUAAAUCCCCACAAACUGA